rnacentral:rRNA from 1 species
AGAGACGAGUCAGAGUUUGAUCCUGGCUCAGGACGAACGCUGGCGGCGUGCCUAACACAUGCAAGUCGAGCGGGGACAUGCGACGGAUAUGAAGUUUUCGGAUGGAAUUGAAGAUGUAUGUUCUAGCGGCGGACGGGUGAGUAACGCGUGAACAAUCUGUCCUUCACAGGGGGAUAACACAGCGAAAGUUGUACUAAUACCGCAUGAGACCACGGUACUGCAUGGUACAGGGGUCAAAGGAGCAAUCCGGUGAAGGGUGAGUUCGCGUCCGAUUAGAUAGUUGGUGAGGUAACGGCCCACCAAGUCGACGAUCGGUAGCCGACCUGAGAGGGUGAUCGGCCACAUUGGGACUGAGACACGGCCCAA